rnacentral:rRNA from 1 species
GAUGAACGCUGGCGGCGUGCUUAACACAUGCAAGUCGAACGGGAAUUCUUUUAUUGAAACUUCGGUCGAUUUCAUUUAAUUCUAGUGGCGGACGGGUGAGUAACGCGUGGGUAACCUGCCUUAUACAGGGGGAUAACAGUCAGAAAUGGCUGCUAAUACCGCAUAAGCGCACAGAGCUGCAUGGCUCAGUGUGAAAAACUCCGGUGGUAUAAGAUGGACCCGCGUUGGAUUAGCUUGUUGGCAGGGUAACGGCCUACCAAGGCGACGAUCCAUAGCCGGCCUGAGAGGGUGAACGGCCACAUUGGGACUGAGACACGGCCCAGACUCCUACGGGAGGCAGCAGUGGGGAAUAUUGCACAAUGGGGGAAACCCUGAUGCAGCGACGCCGCGUGAAGGAAGAAGUAUCUCGGUAUGUAAACUUCUAUCAGCAGGGAAGAUAGUGACGGUACCUGACUAAGAAGCCCCGGCUAACUACGUG